UCCACCCGUCGCAUGGUCGGGCGCUGCGGCAGCACCGGAGGAGAAGCCUCGAUGGGCGCAGAACGGGCGCAGCGGCCGCCGGGCAGAGAGCCGAGACCCUUCUCGGAGAGGGCCAAGCAGGAGGCCCUGAGCAAGUUGGCGGCCAUGAAGGUGGAGUUCUCGAGGAUGGACUGGUUCUUGCGCUCGGUGCUUCUGCCUGUGGACAUUUUUGGGGAUGGUCGACGGCGUCGGUGGUGGGGCUGGCGGUGGUCGAGAAGUACUGGAAGUGAUGAGGAUAUGGGAGAUGAUGUCCCUAUUUAUACUGGUGGGGUAGUGUUCCUUGGUAUGAAAGGAAUUCUUGUCCUAGGUCAAAGUCUAAAGUAACGGCCGUUGUAUGAUUCUAAGACCGGCGUUAUGCUACGCAUGGG
rnacentral:lncRNA from 1 species